GAUGAACGCUGGCGGCGUGCCUAAUACAUGCAAGUCGAGCGAACGGACGAGAGGCUUGCUUCUCUGAUGUUAGCGGCGGACGGGUGAGUAACACGUGGAUAACCUACCUAUAAGACUGGGAUAACUUCGGGAAACCGGAGCUAAUACCGGAUAAUAUUUUGAACCGCAUGGUUCAACAGUGAAAGACGGUCUUGCUUUCACUUAUAGAUGGAUCCGCGCUGCAUUAGCUAGUUGGUAAGGUAACGGCUUACCAAGGCAACGAUGCAUAGCCGACCUGAGAGGGUGAUCGGCCACACUGGAACUGAGACACGGUCCAGACUCCUACGGGAGGCAGCAGUAGGGAAUCUUCCGCAAUGGGCGAAAGCCUGACGGAGCAAAGCCGCGUGAGUGAUGAAGGUCUUCGGAUCGUAAAACUAUGUUAUUAGGGAAGAACAUAUGUGUAAGUAACCGUGCACAUCUUGACGGUACCUAAUCAGAAAGCCACGGCUAACUACGU
rnacentral:rRNA from 1 species